GUGGGGAAUAUUGGACAAUGGGCGAAAGCCUGAUCCAGCCAUGCCGCGUGUGUGAAGAAGGUCUUCGGAUUGUAAAGCACUUUAAGUUGGGAGGAAGGGCAGUAAGUUAAUACCUUGCUGUUUUGACGUUACCGACAGAAUAAGCAUCGGCUAACUUCGUGCCAGCAGCCGCGGUAAUACGAAGGGUGCAAGCGUUAAUCGGAAUUACUGGGCGUAAAGCGCGCGUAGGUGGUUUUGUAAGUUGGAGGUGAAAUCACCGGGCUCAACCUGGGAACUGCCUCCAAAACUGCAUGACUAGAGUACGGUAGAGGGUAGUGGAAUUUCCUGUGUAGCGGGGAAAUGCGUAGAUAUAGGAAGGAACACCAGUGGCGAAGGCGACUACCUGGACUGAUACUGACACUGAGGUGCGAAAGCGUGGGGAGCAAACAGGAUUAGAUACCCCUGUAGUCC
rnacentral:rRNA from 1 species